rnacentral:rRNA from 1 species
CGAAACCUCCCUAGCAGAACGACCCGUGAACAAGUGAAUUCACCAGCGGAGGGGGGCAAGCCUCCCCCUGCCUCGGCUCCGAGAGGGCGCUGGAUCCGUCUUGCGCCCCUUCGGGGCCCUAACGAACCCCCGGCGCGGAAUGCGCCAAGGAAAUCUAACGAGAGAGCGAGCUCCGCGGGUUCGCCCGUCGGAUGCGUUGCCUUCUUUCACUUAUCCAAUACGACUCUCGGCAACGGAUAUCUCGGCUCUCGCAUCGAUGAAGAACGUAGCGAAAUGCGAUACUUGGUGUGAAUUGCAGAAUCCCGUGAACCAUCGAGUCUUUGAACGCAAGUUGCGCCCCAAGCCGUCAGGCCGAGGGCACGUCUGCCUGGGUGUCACGCAUCGUUGCUCCCACCCCUCCCCCUUCGGGGGGCGCGGUCUGUGUGGGGGCGGACAAUGGCCUCCCGUGGAUUCUCUGUUUGCGGCUGGCCCAAAUUUGAGUCUCUGGCUGCGCGAGCCGCGACAAUCGGUGGUGAAAACAAAGCCUCUCGAGCUCCUGUCGCGUGCCUGUGCUGGCCCCUGCGAGGACUCAGGACCCAUGCGUCGUAGUUACGGCGCUCGCUUCGCGACCCCCG